CGCAUAUUUUGCCCAGGCGGAGCUCGACCGCCCAUUCAAACGAUGAUCCGCUUUAUUGAGGAUCACCGUGCUGAUCAUGGGGUCGAGCCAAUCUGCCGUAUGCUGCCGAUUGCCCCU
rfam:Hoeflea sp. BRH_c9 BRHa_1000943, whole genome shotgun sequence.